GGGGGGGGGGGGACUGUCACAUCCCGCUUCUUUGCCCAUUCCUGUUUCCUCUCUAACAGGGCUCUAAUAAGCCAUGCCUGAUCCCCGUUAAGUCGAACCUGAUUUAUUAAUAAGUGGUUAGGUUUCCAACAGAGCAAAGUACUUAAAAUCUUCAUCGAAUUUAUUGAACUGGUCAACCAAUCAGCAAUUUAUUCCUGCAUACACCUCCCCAGUAAUUCACGGUCCAAUGAAAAGUAAGGACUAAGAAGGGUUUGGCCGACCUUCAAGGAACUACAGUAAGAAAACGUUCCUGUGCUGCGGACAGGACAAAGUUCCUGGUUCAAAAAAGGGUAGUGAGGUGGGAAAGCAAUUAAUAAUAGUAGAUUUGCUACAAAAAAGCAGCUAUUUCACUGGAUAGGCUAAUAGAAGAAUUAUUACAUUCCAGUUAUUACAUUAUUGGCUGCUACAGGCACUGUUGCGAACUCCUCAGCAAGGAAAGUCGCUAUUGACUGUCCCAGAGGUCGCUAAGUUGGCAACACUGGCUAUAGGGGCUACCCCCCCCAAAGCAAGAUUAUGCAGUUAUUCUGAUAACUUUAAAAGUUUUUUCAAAGUAUGUUGUCAGGAAACCCGAAUCCUGGCCGCAUAUCAACAUCCAUGAUCCAUUGGACCUUUUGGGAAGUUACAUGGAUCCCUGUUCAGCUGCUUUUCAUUUAAGCAGACAAUGUCAGAGGUGUGUGUUUCUAUUGUGGUAGUGAGGAUGGAGACACACUAUGGGUUUGCUGUGACAGUUGUGAACGGUCGUCUCACAUAAGCUGUGUUCAGCAUCCUUCAGUGGAGAAGGACUAUUUGUGCCCAGCAUGCAUAUGAAUAAUAGCCAGCCACUAGGCAGUAGGGGGCAAUGCAUGCACCCCCAUGGCGAGUCUCGUGCCUCCCCACUCAUGAAGAUCAUGUAAAAAAAUUACGUAAUUCAAUAGUUAUUGCACAUAAUGUUAUGUUAAUUUGAUGUAAUUAAAUUUGAUGUAAUUUCAUUUGAUUAAAUUUUUUGUUAAUUUGUGUUAAUUUAAUAAUUGCUCCACAUAAUUUUAUUUAUUACGAAUGUCGUAUUUAUUUGUUUUUUGUCGUCACUGUUAAUUUUAAUCUUAUUGAUUAAAAACAGAGAUAUUGAGAAAGUUUAUGAAAUUCUAGUUUUUUUCUAAAUGUUUCA